rnacentral:lncRNA from 1 species
GGUAAUGAGGGAAGAAUGAUGAUUAGAGAUGGCAACGGGUACAAACCCGUUGGGUUUUGCCAUCCUAAAUCCGUACCCGUGAAAAAUAUUUAUACCCAUUAAAAACUCCGUACCCAUGACGGGUUUGAAAUUUUGUCCAAACCCGUACCCAUCGUGUUAGCGGGUACCCACGGGUUACCCGUUGGUUUCAUCUCCAAUAUGCUUGUUAUCGUAAUGAUUAAUGAGAUCAUUGUCCAAAAUUUAUGUGAUGAACAACAAGUUUAUGAUUUGGUAUAAAAAUUAUUAGUAGUGUGAAUGAAAUACAAAUAAUAACAUGUAUAAUCAAGUGACCUUGCACUAAGUUAUUCAUCCACCACAUAUGCUAGUAAAAACUAUAAUAGCAAGCAAGCAAUACUCACACCAACUACUUAUACAUUCACCAUUUGAUAAAACUUAGGAAGUAAAUAGGGAGAUAACAAGUUUGUUGUUCGUUUAUAAAAUAAAAUGACAAUAUGCACUAGGUUUGGUGUCGGGUUUAAAAAGCUCGCGAGUUCACAGGUUUGGGUACUAUAGAAACAAACAUAUAUAAUCAUAUUGCUGUAGAAAUAGUUGGAUUUUGCCUUUGGAUUGCAGGAGAAACAUUGAAAAAUCAUACGAAUAACAUAGGAAACUUCUGUGUGCAAUCAGUUUUAUAGGAAAAACAAAUUGAGAAAAAUCUGAAAAAACGAAGCCACUUCAAGUUCUUUGUUUCUCUUUCGUUGUGUAGGAUGUAGGCAUUUCCUGUGUUUUUUACGUGGCUCAUCCAAACAACAUCUCUACUACUAUUAUAUGAGAUUUUUUCCUUUGGUACGUCGUUCCCCGUCCACGCACGUUUAUCCGACUCCCUGUGAAAAAUCCAAAAAAAUACAUGUUUAUUGGGGUUUAAACAGUGGCGGAUCCAGGAUUAAUCCAAGAGGGGGCUGCUAAGCUAAGGUUAUUAAAAAAAUUAAUCCAAACAAAAAGAAUCUAAUUAAUAUUUAAUAUGACACAACAAGCAAGGCAUAAUUUAAACAUGCAAGAAGUAUGUAGACCAAAAUAAAAUAUGAAUUCUACAAAUACAAUAAUCAAUAAAUAUCGUUCAUAAAUCACAAGUUGAUGUUGCUAGGUAAAUUUAUCUUCCAAGUUUUUAUGCUGAUGUCUAUGAAAAUGUAUGAUCAAAUGGUUGACAUGGGCCCAUUUGUAAAUAAGCUAUUUUAGCAUCAACUUUAAUUUAUGGGGAACUCAUCAAUUGGUUUUCUAAGGUCGGGAUCUGCAACUAUAUCAUUUAUAUUUAGCUCAAUCUGUGGUCUUUUCUAUUCUACACGACUCUCAUUUGUUCCAAUUGUAUUAGAAUUAGAAGCAUAUUUAUUUUUGUUCUUGAUGAGAAAUUUAUCUAUCUUAUCCUACAAACAUAAAAUUUAAUUUUAUUAACUAUCCAACCUAGCAAACAUUGUACCACUAGCAAAUAAAUAAUUAAAUCAAAGUACCAAACAAUAAAAUAGUUUUUUAGCCUUACCGUGCUUACCACUAGUACUGCCAUGGCACAGUACCACUAGCAGAAACCCACUGGUUCAAGGCUUCACGUAAUUAGCCGCUGCUACAAAUCAGGAUGCCAGAAGCUGCUCCAGCGCCCGCCCGCUAUGGCCUGGCCGCGUCCCGGCGUCCGUGUGGCGUGGUCUUCUCGAGAGCUGACCGGCUGUACAUCUACGCAACGCCGGGCGCCCGGGCCGUCCACUAGUGGCCACAGCCGCGACCGCCCCAGCUGGGUCGGGUACGUCGCCGGCGGCUAGGCAGGCGCGACGUGCUCGUCUCGCUGCGCGGAACGGUGGGGUGAGUGAGGGAGCGAGCAAGCGGCGGAGCGCCACGGAGGCCUCAGGGCAGCACCGCGACGGCUGGCGAGCCAAGGGCGGACAGCGGCAGGCCGGUGGCUAGGGCGCAGCACGAGCGAGU